UAAGUGACUAAGCGUACACGGUGGAUGCCUGGGCAGUCAGAGGCGAUGAAGGACGUACUAACUUGCGAUAAGCGCAGAUAAGGCAGUAAGAGCCGUUUGAGUCUGCGAUUUCCGAAUGGGGAAACCCAACUGCAUAAGCAGUUACUGUUAACUGAAUACAUAGGUUAACAGAGCAAACCGGGGGAACUGAAACAUCUAAGUACCCCGAGGAGAAGAAAUCAACCGAGAUUCCGGUAGUAGCGGCGAGCGAACCUGGAUUAGCCCUUAAGCACUCGGUGAAGUAGGUGAACAAGCUGGAAAGCUUGGCGAUACAGGGUGAUAGCCCCGUAACCGACGCUUCAUCGAGCGUGAAAUCGAGUAGGGCGGGACACGUGAUAUCCUGUCUGAAUAUGGGGGGACCAUCCUCCAAGGCUAAAUACUCCUGACUGACCGAUAGUGAACCAGUACCGUGAGGGAAAGGCGAAAAGAACCCCUGUGAGGGGAGUGAAAUAGAACCUGAAACCGUGUACGUACAAGCAGUAGGAGCACCUUCGUGGUGUGACUGCGUACCUUUUGUAUAAUGGGUCAGCGACUUAUAUUCAGUGGCAAGGUUAACCGUAUAGGGGAGCCGUAGCGAAAGCGAGUCUUAACUGGGCGCUCAGUCUCUGGAUAUAGACCCGAAACCGGGUGAUCUAGCCAUGGGCAGGUUGAAGGUUGAGUAACAUCAACUGGAGGACCGAACCGACUAAUGUUGAAAAAUUAGCGGAUGACUUGUGGCUAGGGGUGAAAGGCCAAUCAAACUCGGAGAUAGCUGGUUCUCCCCGAAAGCUAUUUAGGUAGCGCCUCGGACGAAUACUACUGGGGGUAGAGCACUGUUAAGGCUAGGGGGUCAUCCCGACUUACCAACCCUUUGCAAACUCCGAAUACCAGUAAGUACUAUCCGGGAGACACACGGCGGGUGCUAACGUCCGUCGUGGAGAGGGAAACAACCCAGACCGCCAGCUAAGGUCCCAAAGUAUUGCUAAGUGGGAAACGAUGUGGGAAGGCUCAGACAGCUAGGAUGUUGGCUUAGAAGCAGCCAUCAUUUAAAGAAAGCGUAAUAGCUCACUAGUCGAGUCGGCCUGCGCGGAAGAUGUAACGGGGCUAAGCAAUACACCGAAGCUGCGGCAAUAUCUUUUAGAUAUUGGGUAGGGGAGCGUUCUGUAAGCCGUUGAAGGUGAAUCGUAAGGUUUGCUGGAGGUAUCAGAAGUGCGAAUGCUGACAUGAGUAACGACAAAGGGGGUGAAAAACCUCCUCGCCGGAAGACCAAGGGUUCCUGUCCAACGUUAAUCGGGGCAGGGUGAGUCGACCCCUAAGGUGAGGCCGAAAGGCGUAAUCGAUGGGAAACGGGUUAAUAUUCCCGUACUUCUGACUAUUGCGAUGGGGGGACGGAGAAGGCUAGGUGGGCCAGGCGACGGUUGUCCUGGUUCAAGUGCGUAGGCUUGAGAGUUAGGUAAAUCCGGCUCUCUCUAAGGCUGAGACACGACGUCGAGCUGCUACGGCAGUGAAGUCAUUGAUGCCAUGCUUCCAGGAAAAGCCUCUAAGCUUCAGAUAGUCAGGAAUCGUACCCCAAACCGACACAGGUGGUCGGGUAGAGAAUACCAAGGCGCUUGAGAGAACUCGGGUGAAGGAACUAGGCAAAAUGGUACCGUAACUUCGGGAGAAGGUACGCUCUUGAUGGUGAAGUCCCUCGCGGAUGGAGCUGACGAGAGUCGCAGAUACCAGGUGGCUGCAACUGUUUAUUAAAAACACAGCACUGUGCAAAAUCGCAAGAUGACGUAUACGGUGUGACGCCUGCCCGGUGCCGGAAGGUUAAUUGAUGGGGUUAGCGCAAGCGAAGCUCUUGAUCGAAGCCCCGGUAAACGGCGGCCGUAACUAUAACGGUCCUAAGGUAGCGAAAUUCCUUGUCGGGUAAGUUCCGACCUGCACGAAUGGCGUAAUGAUGGCCACGCUGUCUCCACCCGAGACUCAGUGAAAUUGAAAUCGCUGUGAAGAUGCAGUGUACCCGCGGCUAGACGGAAAGACCCCGUGAACCUUUACUACAGCUUGGCACUGAACAUUGAACCUACAUGUGUAGGAUAGGUGGGAGGCUAUGAAGACGUGACGCCAGUUGCGUUGGAGCCGUCCUUGAAAUACCACCCUUGUAUGUUUGAUGUUCUAACUUAGACCCAUUAUCUGGGUUGAGGACAGUGCCUGGUGGGUAGUUUGACUGGGGCGGUCUCCUCCCAAAGAGUAACGGAGGAGCACGAAGGUGGGCUAAUCACGGUUGGACAUCGUGAGGUUAGUGCAAUGGCAUAAGCCCGCUUAACUGCGAGAAUGACGGUUCGAGCAGGUGCGAAAGCAGGUCAUAGUGAUCCGGUGGUUCUGUAUGGAAGGGCCAUCGCUCAACGGAUAAAAGGUACUCCGGGGAUAACAGGCUGAUACCGCCCAAGAGUUCAUAUCGACGGCGGUGUUUGGCACCUCGAUGUCGGCUCAUCACAUCCUGGGGCUGAAGUCGGUCCCAAGGGUAUGGCUGUUCGCCAUUUAAAGUGGUACGCGAGCUGGGUUUAGAACGUCGUGAGACAGUUCGGUCCCUAUCUGCCGUGGGCGUUGGAAGAUUGAAGGGGGCUGCUCCUAGUACGAGAGGACCGGAGUGGACGAACCUCUGGUGUUCGGGUUGUGUCGCCAGACGCAUUGCCCGGUAGCUAAGUUCGGAAUUGAUAAGCGCUGAAAGCAUCUAAGCGCGAAGCGAGCCCUGAGAUGAGUCUUCCCUG
rnacentral:rRNA from 1 species